rnacentral:rRNA from 1 species
AACGAACGUUGGCGGCGUGGAUUAGGCAUGCAAGUCGAACGCGAAAGGGGUAGCAAUACCCCGAGUAAAGUGGCGAACGGGUGAGUAACGCGUAGGAAACCUGCCUUCGAGUGGGGGAUA